rnacentral:lncRNA from 1 species
UCAAUUUCAUCUGGAAGAAGAACCGUAAGGAAAGAGUUGUCUGAAUGCUGAGUUGCGCCUAAAGUUAAGUCAGGCUGUGGACAGGGUGGGUAGUAAUGGUUAAGCAUAAGCAAACCCUUUGAGCAAUCCAUCUCAUUCAGAUGGUUAGGUUCUAACCCUAGAGCUUCUGAUAACAUCUCAAAAAGAAACUCUCCCAAAUUCACCACAUGCUUUGUGUAUUCCAACAUAACAUCCCUGAAACAAUUCACCAUGUCCAGAGUAAAAUAAAACAUAUUUGAGUUGGUCUUAAUAUUUUUUUUCAUAUAAUUGGGGGACCAUGCAACUUAGGCCUGCAAUUUUGUCCAAACCAGCCGAACCAAACCGAAAUUUUGGUUUUCAGUUCGGUUACGGUUAUGAAAUCUGUUUUCAGUUUGGUUAGAUUCGGUUUUCGAUUUUCAAAAAUAUAAAAAACAACCAAAUUAUCCAAAAUAACCAAAAGUAAUCAUAAUAACAGGACUGGAUUAACCUAACUAAUGGAAAAUAACCUAAUUUAACCAAACUAACCAAAAAUAUCUUGAGUUUUUAGAAAAUUAUACUGAAAUCUAACUGAAAUGGAAAUAAAACUAAAAACCAAAAUUAACCAAAAACUGCACCGAACCAAACCAAAUUUUUUGUUUACUUCGGCGGGAUUGUGGCCGAACUAAAUACUCAACCCGAACUAACUGAAUAAACUGAAUCUGCAAGGGUAAUGCAACCUAUGUAUAAUAGCUCUUUAAAUUUUGAGAACCAAACCAUGUUUCUAGAAUCGGUCAUGUUAUCAAAGCAGGUUAAGCAAUGGGGUCAUCAUAUCAUACCUACAAAUCUCUGGCAAGUCCUCUGGUUUCGGAGGAUCUGGAGCUAUGGUACAAGAGAAAGUAUCUCUCCAGUUAGCCGCUGGAGAGCUGAAGAGAUCAAAGUUACUUGAAUACCGAAACGUUCUACUGAAAUCUCGCCCGUAGUAUUGUUUCCUCACUUCUGGUGGCUGCUCAUGAAACCCACGAACUCCAUCUUUCAUCCUCUCGAGAAGAUCGAGAGGAACUCCAUGGUUAAUCACCUGGAAGAAACCCCACUUCUCUGACGCCUCUUUAAUCCCUUGAAUCACGUUCUUGCGCUUAGUCUCGUCCUCGAAGACUCGUCCUCCGAGAUCAAACGUUGGGAUCGUCGUGAAGUCAGAGGAAAGUGGUUUAGGGUUUGAUAGUUUGAGAGAUGAGUGAUGGAAUAUUCGUGGAACCUCUGAGACUCCGGCGUCUACGAGUCCUUUUACACCUGUCUUGGUCUCGUCGAAGGCUUUAAGCUCGCUGACACGAUCGAAUGAAGCUAUCUUCAUCGUCUCCAUUGAACUUUGUUUAUCAGAUAACAGAUCAGUCUGAUAAUAAACGUAAUUCAGAAAGAAAAAAAGAAACUUUCUUCAUGGGGUUUGGAGAUAAGACAAGUGGUUACAGCAAAACCAUAGAUCAGAGAUAAGGUUUGUAAGAAGGAAGAAGACAACGGCUUGGGAGAGUACCCCCUGGCCCACUGGCUUUAACACAGUCUUGUUAACCAAGUAAUCGUUGUUGGAUAAUUCCAAGCUUGUGGAAACUUAACAUAUUAUUAGAUGUUUAAUAUGUUAAGAUAAACACAAUAAGGAAACCUAGAAAUAAGAAAAGGAAGUUUCUAUUUAGGUUAGGUUUGUGUUUUCCAUAUCCCACAUGUUAAAGGGAAUUGUCUUUCAUAUAAAUAUAGGUCUAAUGGAGAGGUGUUCCAUAUGAUCUAAGUGAAACAUAUUGAGAGCUUUAGUUUUGAGUAGUUUCUAAAGCUAAUAAGAAAAGUUGUUCUUAUAACUUUUUGUGUUUCUAAGAGAUCUGAAUUGGUAUCAGAGCCUCAGGUUGGAGACUCGAUUUAAGCUUAAGUUGUAGCUUAAGAUCCUGGUGCUUGUGAACAAGAGAUCGCGACGGCAAGAUGGCUGACGUGACUAGGGCUCCACGCACGAAGGACUUUGGAUCUACAUCCAUCCAAUGUCCGAUGUUGUCAUCGACAAACUACACAGUUUGGUCGAUGAGGAUGAAGGUUCUACUACGUGUUCAUGAAGUGUGGGACACAAUCGAACCCGGUUCAGAUGAUCAAAAGAAGAACGAUGUUGCGAUAGCUCUUUUGUUUCAAUCUGUUCCAGAGACUUUGAUUCUCCAGGUGGGAGAACAAACCGCAUCAAAAGAGAUCUGGAACGCCAUCAAGUCGCGACACCUAGGAGCUGAUCGUGUAAGGGAGGCGAGACUUCAGACGUUGAUGACAGAGUUUGAUAGGUUGAAGAUGGAUGAUGCAGAUACGGUCGAUGACUUCGCGGGGAAGAUAUCGGGCCUAUCAUCCAAAGCAACCUCGUUGGGAGAAAACAUAGAAGAAUCCAAGAUGGUCAAGAAGUUCUUGAAGGGUCUUCCAAGACACAAGUAUAUCCAGAUCGUAGCAUCACUUGAGCAAGUCCUAGAUCUCAACUCGACGGGGUUUGAAGACAUAGUUGGAAGGCUUAAGGCGUACGAGGAGCGUGUAGGAGAAGAAACUCAGAAAGAAGACCAAGGGAAGCUGAUGUUUUCGAACAAUGAAGAGCAUAGUCAGAGGGGCUAUGAGAAUCCCGUGGUAGAGGAAGAGGAAGGAACGGUAGAGGCAGAGGUCGAGGUAGGUCACACAACCAAAACCGUGCGUCACACACCGAAGAUAACAACUCGAAGAAGAAUCGUUCAAAGCUGAUAUGUUGGAGAUGUGACAAGCCUGGUCACUACGCAACUGUCUGUCCCGAAAAGACAGAGAAGAAUCAAGAAACUAACCUAAACGAGACAGAAGAGGCUGAUGCACUCUAUGUACACGAGGUGGUGUUUUUGAACGAAGAUAAGGUGAUUCCGAAGAAUCUUGAUAUCAACAAAGGCAGUGCAAGUGUCUGGUAUUUGGAUAAUGGAGCGAGCAAUCACAUGACAGGGAACAAGGAGUUCUUUUCGAGUUUGAAUCUCAACACCAAAGGGAAGGUGAAGUUUGGUGAUGGAUCGUGUGUUGACAUUAUAGGAAAGGGUGUGGUUACUUUUGUGUGCAAGACUGGAGAGAAGAAGGCACUCAAAGACAUAUACUACAUACCCGAUCUGAAGCACAAUAUAUUGAGUCUUGGGCAAGCAACAGAGAACGGAUGUGAGGUUAACAUGAAAGAUGUCUACUUAACGCUCACAGAUUCGCAUGGAAGGUUGCUAGUUCGUGUGACAAGAUCUCCAAACCGUCUCUACAAGACCCCUAUGGAGAUAAGCUACCCGGAAUGUUUACAUGUCAGGGACGAAGAUGCUACAUGGAGGUGGCAUGCUCGACAAGGACAUAUAUGCUAUGGAGUGAUGAACAACAUGGUAAGGAAGGAGAUGGUCGUAGGAAUGCAGAGUGUAACACACGAAGAAGGCGUGUGUGACACAUGUCUCGCAGAGAAGCAAACGAGACACUCAUUCCCGAGUGUAACACACAAAGAAGGCGUGUGUGACACAUGUCUCGCAGGGAAGCAAGCCAGAGACACAUUCCUGACUAAGGCCAUGAUUUGUACAUCAAAGCCAGUGAGAUUAUUGCUUGGAAAUUUGUGUGGAUGUAUCACACCACCAACACCAGCAGAUAAUCGUGAGGCAUUCUAUCGGUUCAAAAGAUCUCACACCGAUAGAGGAGGAGAGGUUGCCUCAGAUGUGCUCAAUCUAGGAUGCACCGAUAGAGGAGGAGAGAUUGCCUCAGAUGAGUUCAACCUAUCUUGUGAAGAAGAUUGGGUUGAAGCUAUGGAAGACGAGUUGGAGUCUAUCACAAGAAACAAGAUAUGGGAGCUUGUAGAUAGACCGACUGGUUCUGAGAAGAAAGGAGAAGAGGAUCGAAUUUGUGUGUUACACAAGACGUUGCAUGUGUUACGCCAGGCACCCAGAGCAUGGAGUGUAAAACUCGAUCAGGUUCUCAAGGAGAUGAGAUUUGAGAAGUGCACAAAGGAACCAUCAGUGUACUACAAGACUGAAGGAGGAGACGUCUUGAUCAUUGCCAUCUACGUUGAUGAUCUAUUUGUGACAAGAACUUCACUUAAGGUGAUUAGGCAAUUCAAGGAGGAGAUGUCUAAGAAGUUCGAGAUGUCAGAUCUAGGUAAGUUAACGUACUACCUUGGCAUAGAGGUGAUUCAAGGAGCAGACGGAAUCAGUAUAAAGCAAGAGAGGUAUACUCAAGGAAUCCUGUGUGACACAAAGAUGGAAGUGUGUAACACGACUCACGUAGGAGUGGGCAACACGACUCACGGAGGAGUGUGUGACACAAAGGUGGAAGCGUGUGACACAACGCACGUACCAAUGGAGUCAAGGUUCUCAAAGGAUGAAGAUGAACCAGAGAUAAAUCAGUUGGGUGUUGAGCAGAAGGCCGACAUCCUUCCCAGAGCUCAUGUACGCAAGAUGGCGGAUGUGACCAGAGUUAUCAUCGCAGUGAGCUUCAGCCACAAGACUCAUCGCAACUUAAGUAAAGAGGUCAUGAGAAGGUUCUACAAGAACUGGGCCGAUUCUAAGAAGAAGCGGUACGGAAGCAAGGAGAGCAUCCGGUCUAACCUUGAGAAAGAUGUGAAUCCAAUGGGUGGAUUUGCACACCAUGGUGUGGUGGAGGAUGAUUACUUGAUGAUUGAGUUCAAGCAAAUGAGGAGCUUAAUCGGAGUUCAAGAAAUUGAUCUCCCUAAUUCAAGUUGGAAUUAAGGGGGUGAAUGUUGGAUAAUUCCAAGCUUGUGGAAACUUAACAUAUUAUUAGAUGUUUAAUAUGUUAAGUUUCCACAAGCUUGGAAUUAUCCAACAUUCACCCCCUUAAUUCCAACUUGAAUUAGGGAGAUCAAUUUCUUGAACUCCGAUUAAGCUCCUCAUUUGCUUGAACUCAAUCAUCAAGUAAUCAUCCUCCACCACACCAUGGUGUGCAAAUCCACCCAUUGGAUUCACAUCUUUCUCAAGGUUAGACCGGAUGCUCUCCUUGCUUCCGUACCGCUUCUUCUUAGAAUCGGCCCAGUUCUUGUAGAACCUUCUCAUGACCUCUUUACUUAAGUUGCGAUGAGUCUUGUGGCUGAAGCUCACUGCGAUGAUAACUCUGGUCACAUCCGCCAUCUUGCGUACAUGAGCUCUGGGAAGGAUGUCGGCCUUCUGCUCAACACCCAACUGAUUUAUCUCUGGUUCAUCUUCAUCCUUUGAGAACCUUGACUCCAUUGGUACGUGCGUUGUGUCACACGCUUCCACCUUUGUGUCACACACUCCUCCGUGAGUCGUGUUGCCCACUCCUACGUGAGUCGUGUUACACACUUCCAUCUUUGUGUCACACAGGAUUCCUUGAGUAUACCUCUCUUGCUUUAUACUGAUUCCGUCUGCUCCUUGAAUCACCUCUAUGCCAAGGUAGUACGUUAACUUACCUAGAUCUGACAUCUCGAACUUCUUAGACAUUGCCUCCUUGAAUUGCCUAAUCACCUUAAGUGAAGUUCUUGUCACAAAUAGAUCAUCAACGUAGAUGGCAAUGAUCAAGACGUCUCCUCCUUCAGUCUUGUAGUACACUGAUGGUUCCUUUGUGCACUUCUCAAAUCUCAUCUCCUUGAGAACCUGAUCGAGUUUUACACUCCAUGCUCUGGGUGCCUGGCGUAACACAUGCAACGUCUUGUGUAACACACAAAUUCGAUCCUCUUCUCCUUUCUUCUCAGAACCAGUCGGUCUAUCUACAAGCUCCCAUAUCUUGUUUCUUGUGAUAGACUCCAACUCGUCUUCCAUAGCUUCAACCCAAUCUUCUUCACAAGAUAGGUUGAACAAUAACCUAACAAAAUGCGUUGAGAUUCCUCGUGUUUUAUAUAUUCUGCUUUACAGGCUCUUUCAUUCCACUAACAAAAACCAAAAAUCCGAACCAAAAUUUUGAGCCAAAAUAGCGAACCGAAAUAACCAAACUUAUUUUCUACAUUUUAACCGAUUUAAAUCGAAAUUUAGCCGAAUUCAUAAAUCUCGGUUAAGUUCACUGAAUCUUUUUGAAAUUGAAAAAAAUCGAAAAACCAAACCGAACAUUUUUUGGUUCAAUUCGGCCAAACCAAACUAUCCGAUUUCCAAACAAACCGACCCGAAAAAUCCGAACAUGCAUAUGCCUAUGACUCGAGCAAUGAAUAUACUCUUUUCCAGCUUUAACGGAACUUUAUAAGAUUUUUAAGAGUAAAAAUCAUAACUAAAGAUGUUUAUGAACCUCUUUACAAUAAUUCUCGUAUUACAUAUAGUUUCAUUUCGAAUAUUUUUUGAGAAAGUAAAGUAGCUCACUAUGUUCAUAUUUUAAAAUGGAGCAAAGCAGAGGUUCCGUCUAGACCUUUGGCAUUGAAGUAAACAGAGUAGUCUCUAAUGGUGAUCUCUCUGUACCUUGGAGGGUUUUCUUCAGACACAAGCUCUCUAAUGGGUCCGUACAACCUAGGAUUCGGUCUUACACCAGUGGUGAAGAAACACGCAACCGAGACUCGAGCUCUGGUGGCUCUAUUUGCUAAUACACGAUGCUCCAAACUAAUGAACUUGUCGUUUGUUAUAAGCUGCAUCACAACACCAAAAAUAAAAUACAACCUUUGAACAAAGAGGAAGAACAUUCUAUACGAUGCAAAACAGAGAAAAAGGCAGUGAUUGUGCAAACUAACUUGUAGAAGAUCUCCGAUGUUGAUAAUGAGUGCACCAGGUACAUGAGGAACAUCGUACCAGUACCCUUCACGGUUGAUUUGAAGCCCUUCAAUCUGAUCUGGAAGAAGAACCGUCAGGAAAGAGUUGUCUGAAUGCUGAGUUGCGCCCAAAGUUAAGUCAGGCUGUGGACAGGGUGGGUAGUAAUGGUUAAGCAUAAGCAAACCCUUUGAGCAAUCCAUCUCAUUCAGAUGGUUAGGUUCUAACCCUAGAGCUUCUGAUAACAUCUCAAAGAGAAACUCUCCCAAAUUCAUCACAUGCUUUGUGUAUUCCAACAUAACAUCCCUGAAACACUUUCCAUUAUGUGAAUAGAGCUAGAUAACAUAUCAAACAAGGCUGAGUUGGAGAUUUAUGUGGUCAUAACAUUUUCGAGUUAAUCUUAUUGAACUUUUUUGAUAAUUUUGGAGAUCAUGCAACCUAUGUAUAAUAUAGCUUUUCAAAAUUUGGAAACCAAACUGAAUGUUUCAUUCAUCUGAUGUGCCGAGGACCGUGUUGGAGUUAAAAGUUUCAGAACGGAAAUAUGAAAAAGAUUUAAAUAAUAUAUAAAAGAUUUUAGUCAUUUCACUUAAUCCUCAAUUGAUUUUAACUUGAAAACCAAACAAACUUAACUUGGAAUCAUAGCGGACGUACACUGAUUUGAACUACUGCACUUAACGCCAAUUAGUUUUAAUUUAGAAGUCCAAAAAACUUAAUAAACAGGUUUAAGCAACGGAGUCA